AUGAAAAGAGGAAUACCUGCAAGAGUUUGUAACUGUUUCUGGCGUAAUACCAAGAGCUCCGGCUGGGUUUUCCGGCAGGUUCAGGUCGGCGCGCCUCCUAUCCAAUCCACUCCAACUAGUUUCGGAGGACAAAGCAGAUGGACAGCGAUUAUGGGUGUCCUCAAAACCAAGUGGGUUGGGCUUCCGUUUAUAAUGUUUUUAACUUACGACUCCAAGGUUGAUCCCGACACCCCCCAUUUUCUACUCCUUUUAUGA